rnacentral:rRNA from 1 species
CAAUAGCGUAUAUUAAAGUUGUUGCAGUUAAAAAGCUCGUAGUUGGAUUUCUGAAUUGAAUAUCCGGUCCGCUCGUCUCUGAUGAGCGCGUACUUAUAGAUAUUGGAUUCAUUUUUUGUGAGGACAUUUAUCUGUCAUUAAGUUGAUGGAUUUAUAGACUUGCAUCGUUUACUGUGAAAAAAUUAGAGUGUUUAAAGCAGGCGUUCGCCCAUUUGAAUACAUUAGCAUGGAAUAAUAAGAUAUGACUUUGGUGGUCUAUUUUGUUGGUUUGCACACCAGAGUAAUGAUUAAUAGGGACAGUUGGGGGUAUUCAUAUUUCAACGUCAGAGGUGAAAUUCUUAGAUCGUUGAAAGAUGACCUUAGGCGAAAGCAUUUACCAUGGAUGUUUNCAUUAA